rnacentral:lncRNA from 1 species
GGUCCCACCGCGCCGGUUGUCGCCGCGCGAAGCCGCCCGGGCCCCGGGACACAAGGACCCGAAUCAGGAGAGUCUCUCCAGUCGGCAUGGUGGCUCUGGCCGUCCCCGAAGCGCGUGCUGGACGUGGGGGAAACAGAGAUGGGCAGGCGUUGGCAGGAGAGCAGAGGAGGAAACAGGUCCGGACGGGCGGGCCGACCUCGAGCCGCCGGCACUCG